rnacentral:rRNA from 1 species
AGAGUUUGAUCCUGGCUCAGAAUGAACGCCGGCGGCGUGCUUAACACAUGCAAGUCGCACGAGAACGCUUCAGCUUGCUGAAGUUAGUAAAGUGGCGCACGGGUGAGUAACGCGUGGGUAAUCUACCCUCGAAUUGGGGAUAACAUCGCGAAAGUGAUGCUAAUAGCGAAUAAUAUCUUAAAAACCUCGGUUUUAAAGAUCAAAGGAGGCCUCUACUUGUAAGCUUCUGUUUGAGGAUGAGCCCGCGUACCAUUAGCUUGUUGGUAGGGUAAUGGCCUACCAAGGCUACGAUGGUUAGCUGGUCUGAGAGGAUGAUCAGCCACACUGGAACUGACACACGGUCCAGACUCCUACGGGAGGCAGCAGUGAGGAAUUUUGCGCAAUGGGGGAAACCCUGACGCAGCAACGCCGCGUGAGUGAUGAAGGCUUUCGGGUCGUAAAGCUCUGUCAAGUGGGAAGAACCCACAUGGUGUUAAUACCACCAUGUGUUGACGGUACCACUGAAGGAAGCACCGGCUAACUCCGUGCCAGCAGCCGCGGUAAUACGGGGGGUGCAAGCGUUAUUCGGAAUUACUGGGCGUAAAGAGCGCGUAGGCGGUCUUUUAAGUCAGGUGUGAAAGCCCGGGGCUCAACCCCGGAAGUGCACUUGAAACUAAGGGACUUGAGUAUGGGAGAGGGAAGUGGAAUUCCUGGUGUAGC